GAUUGCAAGUAAACCCUCUCUGUGAUCGCGGCUG
rnacentral:ncRNA from 1 species